rnacentral:misc_RNA from 1 species
AAUCAAGUUCUCACCCCUAGAUGUAGGAUACAUCUCUAUCAUCAAAGCCCUGCAUUGAUUAACAUCAAGUUUUAACCAUUACAUCAGCACCUUUCACUUGAUUCAGCAGCUAAAAAUUCACGCACACCUACGCUAAUAAUUUCGAGUCAUGCAAAAUAUUUUGGCUCAAAUUCUGUAAUCUGCACGCUGGUAAGUACAAGCUACAUAUGUCUUAUAGUUCUCUUACAGCUUUUCACAGAAAUUGCUAUGAGAAGAUUCAAUGGUUGCAUGUAAAGGAAAUUUAGCAGAUGAUAACUUAUGGUAAGCACCAAGUGCUGUGGAAACUAAAGACAUCAGCACGUUAACCAGUAAGACCAAACCAAUAUGAAUUGCCAGCUAGCCGAUAGAAAAAGCAGCCAGACCUAUCAACAGGUCCUCUUCCCAUAUGUUCCGGUAAUGGACAUGAUCACUAUCCACACAAUUGAAUCAUUAACAAACUCAGUUGACAGACAGCAGGAAGGCAUACAUCUUUUUCCUCUUUCAUUUUUCUCUUUCCUUUUCUCUUUCCCCUUUUUGAUAGUAUGACAAUCUUACCCUUCAUUUCUCCAACAAAUUCUUGGAAUUGAAAAAGCCAUCUAGAAACAAGAUCUUGGUUGCGUCAUUGACUCAUCUCAUGAACUAAUCAAAUAAGAGAGUAACAAAGUUGGUGGAUAAGGGUUUUGCUCCGAAUCAGCAAAGGGGCAAUAAAAAGCAGAAUGUCAAAAUCUAAUUGAAAGGACAAGAAGGCUAGAUCAAGAUACAGUGAAUGAUUGUAAAGGUAACGCCAAUUAUCCUCGUUACACAGUAGGUCGCAUCAGAUAAGCUACAAUCACAACACCACAGAGUUUCAGGAAAUAGACCGACUCUCUUUGUCCAGUGAUAUGUGAACUCUUAAAAUGUCCAACCUUCUAUGAUAAGACACCUUGCCAAAUAGCAUGAAUCACAAGCAUUUUCCUCCUUUAGUUUUCCACCAAAAAAAAGGAAUCAGAAUUCAAUUUGAAAUAUUAUUUUGGUGAAAAAGAUGAAAACCCCGUUUCCACUGAAUUUAUCAAACAUUUCAUAAGGAUAGCAUUUGAAAUAAAAAGAAAAAUAAAACAUGUCGAGCAAAUAUCAUGAUGGUGUAAUUAAUUAUAUAAGAUGUUUGAUAACAAAAACAAAUGAUUAAACAGCAUCCAAAAUUAUUAAAUUGUGCACUUAACUCGGAUUCAUAGAUAAACCAAUUCAUAAGUGAGUUGGGCUGUGAGAACUGGCAUUGAUUUUAGAGUGUACCUGAGAUGAGCAAGGGCACCUGAUUUUAACUUUCACGCAUCUGCAGGUAGACUUAUUUCUUGAAAUUCUAUACAUACACAUACAUAUAGAUGGAGGGCGACGGAUGAAGAAUUCAUACCAUGAAAAGGAACCAAAAUGCACAACCCAUUGUAUGCAUCUCGCUUUCUUAUUUAUUUCAUAUCAAAGUCGGAUAUGGACUCGGGCUAUGAUUACAAUAAAGAAAUGUCAAUCUAGGUGACAGCUGAUAUUGGAUCUAGGUAAUAAAAAAUUCGAAGCAAAAUGACUGUAGGAGAAGCAAGCAUGGAUCAAGGACAACGAGGACCUAGAAUUACUCUAAUUCCGUUAGGGCCUCUGCUCCAGCUACAAUCUCCAGUAUUUCCCCUGUAAUUUUUGCUUGUCUUUCCCGAUUGUAUGCAAUAGAAAGAUUCUUUUUCAAAUCAACUGCAUUAUCUGUUGCGUUACUCAUGGAAUUCAUCCUUGCUGCAAGCUCACUAGCCAAUGACUCCUGCAGUGCCCUCAAAACAUGACUAUUUAGAUAGAGAGGCAUCAUAGCAUCAAGAAUCUGAAUUGGAUCUUGCUCAAACUGCAAAAGAGGUGAAAAUCCCUCCUUCUUUGUUCUUACACUCUCCCUCUCAAUAGCCAACUUCCCUUCCUUACUGGUCAACCUAAAGAACUCAUCAUCUGCAGCAUCAACACAAUUCCCAUUCAUAUCGCAAACCUCUCCUCUACGUGACAAUGGCAACAGCGUAUGAAUCACCGGGUCAGACUUCACCAAAGACACAAACUUAGUAUACACAAGCUCUACCUUAUCAACCUCUUCACUGACAAACAGUGAAAAUACUUCAUCAGCAAUCAGUUGAGCCUCUUUAGCUGUGGGAAAACUCCCUCCCUCAAUAAAUCUUUCCACGGAAAUCUUAGGUCUACGCUUAAAAUAGGCAUUACCCUUCCUGCCCACACUAAUCACAGAGUAAUCUAACCCCAGUUUUUCCAAUUCCAUAAUCCGGGUCUCAACCUUUUUUAGCACUGCAUUGUUAAAACCACCACAAAGGCCUCUAUCACCAGUAACAACAACAAGUGCUACUUUCCUUACAGACCUAACAUUCGUUAAUGGAACAUCAAUAUCUUCCAAUUGGAGCUGUUCGUUGAUGAUAUAAAGCAUUUCAAGGAGGGCUUCAGUAAAGGGUCUGCUGUUGAUAACAGCUUCUUGAGCUCUUCGGAUCUUAGCAGCUGCAACUAGUUUCAUUGCCUCAGUAAUCUUCUGGGCGCUUUUGACAGUAUUAAUCCGACCUUUUAACUCGCGAAGACCACAACGAAUCUGAGUAUAUAAUGAAGAUUGAGAGAAGGUAUUGUAUGGAGGGGGCACUUGGGCUAAAUGGCGAAAUGGGUUUGAUUGGAAUUGAAAAGAAAAUGCAUAUGUGUUAGGUUUUGACGGAUUUGGGGAAACCCACGAGGUUAGAUUGGAACAGAACAUGGUUUUGAUGAAUUUCUAUUGAUGAGAUUUCAGUACCAUAUGAGGUUGAAUAUAAAUUGGAUCUCUUCAAAACCCCUUUACCAAAGAAACUUGGGUUUUAGCAGAGAUCAAAGUGAAAAAAGAAUUUUGCGCUACAGGAGCAUUUCGGAUCGAUAGCAGCGUGAAUUUGAUCUAGCUCACCGGAAAGAAGUUGUGAGAGAGAGAGAGAGAGA